GAUGCUCUGGGGGGUGGGGGUGGGGUGCCUGAGAAUAUGCACUGCUGUUGGUCCCACUGGUCCGAGGCCCACGCUUUGAGUAGCAAGACACUGAAUGAUAGAAAUGGAACCAGUUGGCCAAUGAGGAGCAGUGAUGUGAUGGCCAAAUGGUCCCUAUGCUUAGAUAUCUGAGCAGAGUGCCAAGGGAAGGCAGAGUUGCAGCAAAAAUCGGGAGGAAGCAUCAACUUGCUUAGCAUACAAGAUACAUUUGAAGGUUGAGGAGACAUGACAGCAUUCUCAUGGAGGGGCCACACGGCCGAGCAGGAUCCUGGGGGCACCUGUCACACAGCAGAGAAGGUCUGCAGAAACCAAGAGAUACCCAGUGCAGCUGAAGCAAGGCACCGCUUGUUGCCACAGCUCUGGACAGGACAAAGAGGUCUGUUUCUUCUGAACCUAAUUCCUGAGCGUCACCUGAAACAGCAUUUGCCACAACUGUAUUCCAUGAAUCCUAGCCCCAGCCCCAACUCACCUUCAACCAAAGCCCUUCCAUGUUACUUCUUUGAUAUACUGAGAUUGUCUCUGUAUCAGCUGGGACUUGGAGGCAAUCAAAUGAAACCAACUGCUUUAAGUAAAGAGAAAAGGAAUCUAUUGGAAGUGGAUACAAAUCAGAGAUCUGUGUGCAAAGAAGUUUGGACACCUGGGAGUUGAACCAAGUGAAGUAGGCAUGUCUGUUGCAGGACUUAUCAGAAUCUUUAGUACACCAGUGCACAUCUCCAGUAUAUAAUUUUUUAUAUACAUUUUCCAAAUGUAUUUCUUCAAUGCCAUGAUGCACUGAUUGUAAGGUGUAUCAGCAUUUUAAUAACAGCAUUUUCAGGA